CUAUUGCGGUCGUGCUGUGCCUGGUCCUGUUUUUUGCUGCAGUUGGAGUAAUUAAUCUGUAUAUCUACGAGCUGAACAAAAUGCGUCUAGAAAAGAGAGCAAUGAACACUAUCAGAGACUUUAUGAUAAAAAGGGAACCGUCCCUUCAGAACAAGAAUGAUUCUGAAAUAUUUCGUGGAGCUCAGAAGUUAGCAGAUGAAUUGGUUGCAUGGAACUUCAAA